UGGAGCUGCUGGUCCGUGGUGAAUUU
rnacentral:piRNA from 1 species